GAAAAGAAAAGAAAGAUAAUCAGAUAACAGAGAGAGAGAGAGAGAGAGAGGAAGGAAGCAGACAUUUGUCUUCCACCAUAUUCUUCUCAUCUUUUUCCGAUGAUAGAUUCUUCUUCUUCUUCUUCUACUUCUACUUCUGCUCCUCUUUCUUAAGUUUCUCCAUUAGAUAAUCCACUCAAGUCUCCAGCUCCUAUUCACUUUCUCCUCUUCUUCUCGCUGCUUUAUUCGCUCUCUUUCUCUCUUCAUCAUCAUCACACUCAAAGAUUUCUGUUGUAUUGGACCAAACUCUAGCGAAUUUUCGUACGCCCUCUGUAGAAUUUUUGUUUCCUGUUUUGGAUUUCGAGGAAUCUCGCUUUGGAAACUUUAAGUUCCUGUUCAAAGUUUCUACCUUUUUUUUUUUGUUGUUAUCUUCUUCUCUUAUCUUUCGUCAUCUUUGAUUAAGUAACCACUUUGAUCUCUCAAUUUCAGCCUUUGGGUUGUCUAAUCUGACACGUUCCUCUGUCUUGCUUUCCUUUUCUCUUCUUGUUUGUGGGAAGCCUACAAGGAUAUAAAUAAAUACCCCCAAAAAUUCUUCCUUUUGGAUUCUCUGAUUCGUCCCCUUUUGUACAGUUUGGUUCUUGGAGCUUCUCUGAGUCUUGCUGAGUUGAAUUGAGCUGGACUCUGUUUCUUGGGGUUGAUCGUGUAUUCAAGUGGUGGAUGAGUCUGUUCCAUGUGCUAGGGUUUGGUGUCAAGAUUGGGCACCUCUUCUGGAUGCUAUGCUGCUGGUUUGUUUCUUGGUUCGUUGAUAAUGGGAUCGAGGACAACAAGUCUGGUCUUUUGAUUGGCUCUGUCGGUGAUCUUGAGAAGACGAAGAUGACAACGAUGAAGAAGAAGAAUAAGAUGUGGUUCUGGAAUAAGAUCUCCAGCAGUGGACUCAAGAUCCCGAGUUUCUCUUAUCAGUUUCUUGGCUCAGUUAAAUUCAACAAGGCGUGGUGGAGGAAGCUUGUGGUGGUUUGGGUUGUCUUCUGGGUAUUGGUCUCAAUAUGGAUGUUCUGGUACUUUAGCUCCCAAGCUAUGGAGAAGAGGAAAGAAACGCUAGCUAGUAUGUGCGAUGAGAGAGCUCGUAUGCUGCAGGAUCAGUUCAACGUUAGCAUGAAUCAUGUUCAAGCCAUGUCUAUCUUGAUCUCAACCUUUCACCAUGGCAAGAUUCCUUCUGCUAUCGAUCAGAGAACAUUCUCAGAGUACACUGAUAGAACUUCCUUUGAGAGGCCUCUUACGAGCGGGGUUGCAUAUGCUAUGAGGGUGCUCCAUUCAGAGAGGGAAGAAUUCGAGAGGCAACAAGGUUGGACUAUUAGGAAGAUGUAUUCUCUUGAACAAAACCCAGUUCACAAGGAUGACUAUGACCUGGAAGCUUUAGAACCAUCCCCUGUCCAAGAGGAGUAUGCUCCAGUCAUCUUUGCUCAGGACACUGUUUCUCACGUGGUUUCUCUUGAUAUGCUGUCUGGGAAAGAAGAUCGUGAAAAUGUUUUGCGGGCCAGGAGUUCAGGUAAAGGGGUUUUGACAGCUCCUUUCCCAUUGAUAAAGACAAAUAGACUUGGGGUGAUCCUGACAUUUGCAGUCUACAAGAGAGAUCUCCCCUCCAAUGCAACGCCAAAAGAGAGAAUUGAGGCUACUAAUGGGUAUCUCGGUGGAGUAUUUGACAUUGAGUCCCUGGUGGAAAACUUGCUUCAACAGCUGGCUAGCAAGCAAACUAUUCUUGUCAAUGUAUACGAUACCACCAAUCACUCUCAACCGAUUAGCAUGUAUGGUUCAAAUGUGUCGGCUGAUGGGUUGGAACGUGUUAGUCCACUAAUCUUUGGCGAUCCAUUUAGAAAGCAUGAAAUGCGUUGCAGAUUUAAGCAGAAACCACCAUGGCCAGUGCUAUCAAUGGUGACAUCAUUCGGUAUCCUUGUGAUUGCGUUGCUUGUUGCACAUAUAAUCCAUGCAACCGUGAGUCGAAUACACAAAGUUGAAGAAGAUUGUGAUAAAAUGAAGCAGCUCAAGAAAAAGGCUGAAGCAGCAGAUGUUGCAAAGUCACAGUUCCUUGCCACUGUUUCACAUGAGAUCAGAACUCCAAUGAAUGGUGUUCUAGGAAUGUUGCAUAUGCUUAUGGACACAGAGUUAGAUGUUACGCAACAGGAUUAUGUUAGGACCGCACAGGCAAGUGGAAAAGCUUUAGUCUCGCUAAUAAAUGAGGUUUUGGACCAAGCAAAGAUUGAAUCUGGAAAGCUUGAGCUUGAGGAGGUGCGGUUUGAUUUGAGAGGAAUAUUAGAUGAUGUCCUGUCACUCUUCUCGAGCAAGUCCCAACAAAAGGGGGUAGAGUUGGCAGUAUACAUAUCUGAUCGUGUUCCAGAUAUGUUAAUUGGUGAUCCUGGGAGGUUUCGACAAAUACUCACAAAUCUUAUGGGUAAUUCCAUUAAGUUCACUGAGAAAGGACACAUCUUUGUAACUGUCCAUUUGGUGGAGGAGCUAUUUGAAUCUAUCGAUGGAGAGACAGCAUCGUCUCCGGAAAGUACACUGAGCGGGCUUCCAGUUGCAGACCGGCAGAGGAGCUGGGAAAACUUUAAAGCUUUCUCCAAUGAGCAUCGGAGCUUUGAACCAUCUCCCCUUGAUAUCAACCUAAUCGUCUCAGUUGAGGAUACUGGCGUAGGGAUACCUUUAGAAGCGCAGUCCCGAAUUUUUACGCCGUUCAUGCAAGUCGGACCAUCCAUAUCCAGGACCCAUGGAGGCACAGGAAUUGGGCUUAGCAUAAGCAAAUGUCUAGUUGGACUGAUGAAGGGAGAAAUUGGAUUCUCGAGUACUCCCAAGGUCGGGUCCACGUUCACAUUUACUGCUGUAUUUUCCAAUGGGAUGCAAACAACUGAAAGAAAGAAUGACCCGCAGAACAAUAACCAGCCCAUAUUCUCGGAAUUUCGGGGCAUGAAAGCUGUGGUUGUGGACCAUAGGCCUGCUAGGGCAAAAGUCUCGUGGUACCAUUUUCAGCGCCUGGGAAUUCGAGUUGAAGUAGUUCCACGUGUUGAACAGGCUCUACGUUAUCUGAAGAUUGGUACUACCACUGUGAAUAUGAUACUCAUAGAGCAAGAAAUAUGGAAUAAGGAAGCAGAGGUGUUCAUUAAAAAGCUGCAGAAAGACCCUCUUUUCCUUUCUCCUAAGUUGAUUUUGUUAGCAAACUCAGUAGAAUCGUCAAUAUCAGAGGCUUUAUGCACCGGUAUAGAUCCUCCAAUAGUGAUAGUGAAACCAUUGAGGGCGAGUAUGCUAGCAGCAACUUUGCAGAGGGGAUUGGGUAUUGGAAUCAGAGAACCACCUCAGCACAAGGGACCUCCUGCUUUGAUUUUGAGGAAUCUUCUCCUUGGUAGAAAAAUUUUAAUCGUGGAUGAUAACAACGUAAACCUCAGAGUGGCAGCGGGAGCUCUGAAAAAGUAUGGAGCUGAUGUGGUCUGCGCUGAGAGUGGGAUAAAGGCAAUCUCAUUGCUUAAGCCACCUCACGAGUUUGAUGCUUGCUUCAUGGACAUUCAGAUGCCAGAAAUGGAUGGAUUUGAAGCUACGAGGAGAAUACGGGAUAUGGAAGAGGAGAUGAACAAGAGAAUCAAGAAUGGGGAGGCUUUGAUAGUAGAGAACGGUAACAAAACAAGCUGGCAUCUUCCGGUACUAGCAAUGACGGCAGACGUGAUCCAAGCAACGCAUGAAGAAUGUCUAAAGUGUGGAAUGGAUGGGUAUGUAUCAAAACCCUUUGAAGCAGAGCAGCUGUACAGGGAAGUUUCUCGCUUUUUCAAUUCGCCUUCAGAUACAGAAUCAUAAGAGGAGAAGGGCUGGAAGAAGAACGGCAAAGGAAACACAAAAACUCGUGUCUCCUAUGCAUCUUGAAGUAGUAGAAAACACAGAUUGACGAUUGCAAAAGAGUGUAUAUAGAAAGGCCGGUGUGACCAGGCCAAGAACUUAGACCAGUUUCUCCUGUAAAGUUUUUUUUUUUUUUUUCAUUUUUCUCUUGUCUGAUUGGGACACACCAAAACUUUGGUUUGUAGAUGAGAGUAGCAGCUGGAAUAUAUUCAGAGUUGCUUUGGACAGGGAAGAGAGCAGCAUAGUAUGUGUGUAAAAAGUGUGUGUGCAUGAUUUAGGAUUCUUCUUGUAUUAGAGAACAGUGCAGCAGUUUCUUUGUCAUCAUCAUGGUCCAAGAUAGGGAAGUGAACAUUACUACUACUUAUACAUACACUGGCUUUGUGAUAUAAAGUUGAAGAUAGCUUUUACUUUCU